GACGAACGCUGGCGGCGUGCCUAACACAUGCAAGUCGAACGGAGUUAAUAAUUUAGAUCCCUUCGGGGUGACGAAUUAUUAACUUAGUGGCGGACGGGUGAGUAACGCGUGAGUAACCUGCCUUACAGAGGGGGACAACAGUUGGAAACGACUGCUAAUACCGCAUGAUGUUUCGAGAUGGCAUCCUCUUGAAACCAAAGGAGCAAUCCGCUGUAAGAUGGACUCGCGUCCGAUUAGAUAGUUGGUGGGGUAACGGCCUACCAAGUCUACGAUCGGUAGCCGGACUGAGAGGUUGAACGGCCACAUUGGGACUGAGACACGGCCCAGACUCCUACGGGAGGCAGCAGUGGGGGAUAUUGCACAAUGGAGGAGACUCUGAUGCAGCAACGCCGCGUGAGGGAAGAAGGUUUUCGGAUUGUAAACCUCUGUUUUUAGUGAAGAAACAAAUGACGGUAGCUAAAGAGGAAGCCACGGCUAACUACGUGCCAGCCGCCGCAGUAAUAC
rnacentral:rRNA from 1 species